CAGUUGAGCAGACGCUAGACACGGCGAGCAUGUUCUUGCAUGUGCGUACUCGGACGUUCGAUUACUGUGUCACAUUUUUAUAGUAUCUAAUGUCUACGUAAUCACGUGUAAUAAUUCAACACAAGUUAGUAAUAUCUUAAUGAAAAAAACCAAACAAAAGAUGUAUUUUAUAUUAUUUUACUAAAUGAUGGCUUAGUCACAAUGCCAAAGCAAUGGUUAACAAAUGAUAAAAAGUAUACAUUUUGGCCUAUAUGUAAAUUCAGCACAAUUUAUUAAUUUAAUUAAAUCAUGUGCUGAAAUAAAUACACAAUGGAUGGCAAAAUAUGAAAUAUAAUUCAUAUAUGAAACAGCAGGUGUAAGAAGUAAAUUCAAAGAUGUCAGUAAAAGGGAUGUAAACGCACCUCUUAAAAUUUGGUUAUUUCACACAUAAGAUCGAUUAAAAAAAGACAAGAAUAAUUAAAAUUAUUUUUCUUGGAAUUUAACUUACAAUUAGAACUUAAUUUACAACUCAUGUUAUUUACAAAAAGAGACUUUAAGUUUGAAAAUGACAGUGUUUUAUUUUAUCAAUACUUUAUGUUUUAUACGAUUUUUGUUUUUUUUUUGUUAGAUUUUUUAAAGAUACAGUUUGAAAAAUGUAUACUGUCAGUUAAA
rnacentral:misc_RNA from 1 species